rnacentral:rRNA from 1 species
GGCGGCGUGCUUAACACAUGCAAGUCGAACGGAAAGGCCCUGCUUUUGUGGGGUGCUCGAGUGGCGAACGGGUGAGUAACACGUGAGUAACCUGCCCUUGACUUUGGGAUAACUUCAGGAAACUGGGGCUAAUACCGGAUAGGAGCUCCUGCUGCAUGGUGGGGGUUGGAAAGUUUCGGCGGUUGGGGAUGGACUCGCGGCUUAUCAGCUUGUUGGUGGGGUAGUGGCUUACCAAGGCUUUGACGGGUAGCCGGCCUGAGAGGGUGACCGGCCACAUUGGGACUGAGAUACGGCCCAGACUCCUACGGGAGGCAGCAGUGGGGAAUAUUGCACAAUGGGCGGAAGCCUGAUGCAGCAACGCCGCGUGCGGGAUGACGGCCUUCGGGUUGUAAACCGCUUUCGCCUGUGACGAAGCGUGAGUGACGGUAAUGGGUAAAGAAGCACCGGCUAACUACGUGCCAGCAGCCGCGGUGAUACGUAGGGUGCGAGCGUUGUCCGGAUUUAUUGGGCGUAAAGGGCUCGUAGGUGGUUGAUCGCGUCGGAAGUGUAAUCUUGGGGCUUAACCCUGAGCGUGCUUUCGAUACGGGUUGACUUGAGGAAGGUAGGGGAGAAUGGAAUUCCUGGUGGAGCGGUGGAAUGCGCAGAUAUCAGGAGGAACACCAGUGGCGAAGGCGGUUCUCUGGGCCUUUCCUGACGCUGAGGAGCGAAAGCGUGGGGAGCGAACAGGCUUAGAUACCCUGGUAGUCCACGCUGUAAACGGUGGGUACUAGGUGUGGGGUCCAUUCCACGGGUUCCGUGCCGUAGCUAACGCUUUAAGUACCCCGCCUGGGGAGUACGGCCGCAAGGCUAAAACUCAAAGGAAUUGACGGGGCCCCGCACAAGCGGCGGAGCAUGCGGAUUAAUUCGAUGCAACGCGUAGAACCUUACCUGGGUUUGACAUGGAUCGGGAGUGCUCAGAGAUGGGUGUGCCUCUUUUGGGGUCGGUUCACAGGUGGUGCAUGGCUGUCGUCAGCUCGUGUCGUGAGAUGUUGGGUUAAGUCCCGCAACGAGCGCAACCCUUGUUCACUGUUGCCAGCACGUUAUGGUGGGGACUCAGUGGAGACCGCCGGGGUCAACUCGGAGGAAGGUGGGGAUGACGUCAAGUCAUCAUGCCCCUUAUGUCCAGGGCUUCACGCAUGCUACAAUGGCUGGUACAGAGAGUGGCGAGCCUGUGAGGGUGAGCGAAUCUCGGAAAGCCGGUCUCAGUUCGGAUUGGGGUCUGCAACUCGACCUCAUGAAGUCGGAGUCGCUAGUAAUCGCAGAUCAGCAACGCUGCGGUGAAUACGUUCCCGGGGCUUGUACACACCGCCCGUCAAGUCAUGAAAGUUGGUAACACCCGAAGCCGGUGGCCUAACCGUUGUGGGGGAGCCGUCGAAGGUGGGACUGGUGAUUAGGACUAAGUCGUA